rnacentral:snoRNA from 1 species
AAAAAUGGGGCUACUUUAUCUGUUCAACUGCUGAAUGAUAAGGCAUGACCUAAAACUUAAUGUUGACCAGA